AAGAAAGCAUCAGCUGUCAUAGGUAAAUGGGAACAAAAUACAUAUAAUCAGUUCAUGUAUAGACGCAACCACCCAAAAGUUUUGCAGUUAACAAAAAUGAGCACUGAUCAAGAGUUUACAGUGUCUAAAUGAAGAUUUAUCUCUUCUUGUGUUUAUAUUUAUGAAGUUGGUGCAAGAGUUAUGAGGAGUGAGGUUAGCGUAGAAUUCAAUUCCAAUUUCCGGACCAUAUGAAACAUUGGUCACCGUCUCGUCAUGAUCGUUCUUAUAAAAUAUGAGCAGGCCAAUAUGGGAAUUUCUUCUCCUCUGCUUCAGUGAGAAAUAAAGAACCAAAAGUUGAUGUAUGUCAUAUCUCUAAGACAUGAGUCUUCAGUGAGCAGUAUGGCAUUUUUUCUGGUCUCCUUUACAACCUUUUCCUUGACUCUCUGAUCAUUCCUAGGGUAAUAAAAAAAUGAAAGAGCUUACAGUUAAAGAUGGUUUAAAAAACAAAUAAGCUGCCGAUUUUUUCUUAUCAAGAACCAAGUGUUGUAACUGAAAACAUAAAAGAAUUUCAGCAGUUGAGCAAGAAUGCCGAAGAAUUCCUGGUGUUAAAUGAAUAUAUUUUUGAUCUGUACAGAUUCAGUUCAGCAAAAUAUAAAAUAAUUGAAACAUAAGGCCAGGCAUAUAUGACUUGCCCCUUAUCAAGUAAGAUCUUGAGUAGCUUGAGAGUCUGAGGAAGAGGAGCAGUACCAUCAGCUGUUGAAAAAUAAAUAAUUUUGUCAUCACAUGUUAGCUAAAAAACAACACAUAAAUUCAAAUUGAAAUUUGAAUUGUAGAGCAGAUAUAUGUUUAGACUUAAAUUAUCAGAAUCAAAACCAGGAGAAGCUCUAUGAUCUUACAUGUUCUUACGUGGCAAGUAAAGAAUCUUGAAUGUCAAUUUGUCCCUAAAAAGUUCACUAAUUAUUUGAAUAGCCAAUACAGUGUUCAUCCUACCCUUAACAACGUUCAAACUUUCUCGGCAGCAAGUUGAUGACUAGUUAUUCUAUUGUCACAAUUUUAGUUCUCUCAUUAAGCAUAUCAAUGUAUAUUGUAAACUAAAAAUGAUUAACCAGGUAACAUUCUUCCUUGAACUGUAUCACACAGAAUUUAGAAUAAAUACAGAUGUCAAUAUUUAGAUUCAUAUGCUAGCUUAAUCUGAUGUACCUGGGGAAUUUAGAUUCGUGCUCCUUCUGCAACCAUUGACGUUUCUCUUUUUUAUUUUUUAUUUUUUUUUAUCGGAGGUAGAAUCAACAGUUUUUUCGAGCCUCGUCAUCUCCGUAUAGUCAGAAACACAGACAUCUACCAAAAAAUGAGUGAAACUCGAGGAACAAAAAUUACAAAGAAUAAUUUUAGGCAAAAGCAAAAUGAAACCCAAAUGAAAUUACUUAAAAGACUCUUCAAUUGGCAAUAGAAAUAGAAGCAAAGGUACAGCUCAUACAAGCAAAGCAAAAAUCAGAACUAAAUUUUCAGAAGAAGAGACCAAAUUCCCUAAAAAAUCAGCACUAAGUUAAGCUUGAAUGAAGUCUUUUUAAUAGCAUCUGUACUUACGCGUGGCCAAGCUUGCUGAUAAAGUGAGCCCUCUACCAACAUUUUGUAUGCACACACUUAGUUUACCGUGUAAGAUGAUUAAUUCUUUGAAAAAAGAUGGGGCCCGCUUUAUUUAUAAUUCAUCUAAUAUUAUAUAUCUACACCUCACGCGCUCCAUAUGCAGUCAUUCUGAAAUUUCGCUCCUUUAAAUAUGAUAUUUAUUUCCUUUGGGAUUUUUUUGAAGAUGGACUCUAACACAAGAUUUCUUUUAUAACAAAAAGGUUGUAUUAUUAUUCUAAUAUUUAAAGGAAGAAUUAACCUAUAUAGCACCUAUCCAACAACUUAAACAAAAAAUAGCCAAAACUUUUGUUAGUCUAUGUCUUCCAUUUCAAAUUUCAUGGGAAGCAUCAGCUUCAUGAAUUAGCACCAUGAAUCAUGAAUGAAUAUUAUAGGUACUUUUCGUAUAUCACUUUGAUCUACACUGAGCAGACCCACUUUGGUGAUUAUUUAUUUGACUGAGUAUAGAAGAAUCCCAAAAUGAAUUAUAACAGGAGUUGAGACAUAGCUCCAUAAUUUCAAAACAACAAUGAAUUUCUCUGCUACCCUCAAAUGAAAAGAGAGUAAAAGAAUAAGAACCAAUCUAAGUAUUUGGAAGAACAAAGAUGAAUAGAAUCAUAAUCCUACUUAGGACAAAUAAAUCAAUAAAGCAUUUGAAGAAAGUCAAAUAAAAAAAGUUAAUUCCGACAGUUUUUCCUUAUUGAAGCAAAAUUCCUUGAAAUAGCGUAAGUAAGGAAGCAAAUCAAAGUGAUAUUAAAUAAACAAAGAAACAUCCACAGAGACUAUCAAUAAAAAUUAAUGCGAGAAGAACUGAAAAUUCAUAUUAAUCAGUGAUUGACAUACCAAGUUAAACUAUCAUAAACCGCAAAAGAGCAGAGCGCGAGAAAUAGGAAAUUAGACAUGAAUUUUUGACACAAAUUCAUGCUUUUUGUAACCCAUGAAGGAAAAGAAAAAACAAAGAAGGUCAGUGCAAUAAACAUCAUAUUUGAAGCUUAAUUUACUGAGUCAAAAUCAAAUUAAGACAGUCCACAAACAUCCGUAGUUUCUUUCGGACAAUUUAUCAAAUACCCCUGAUGCAUGUCCGGAUGUGGUAUCUAAAUAAUACAUUGAAAUCGAUUCUUACUGCACUUUUGAAGAGUUGAAAGAAAUGAUGAAGUAUUCCGUCAUUCAUAUAAAAUAGAAGCAUUACCUUGAAAUUGUCGGAGCAGCAGUCACUAUAACCCCUGAUUAGCAAAGACUGUGUUCUUCAGAGAAACCCGAUAUCAAAACCAACCAAAAUACCAAAAGAAGAUCUUUCAAACCAGUGGACACCGCAGCCAAAGUCCGAAAUUCGCAGAGAAAAAGCUAAAGCAAUCCAAACGAAAAUAGAGAGCAGCAGCUAACGGAGAGGUUUUG
rnacentral:lncRNA from 1 species